rnacentral:sRNA from 1 species
UGAUCUUGAGCUUUCUUUAAAGCGUCUGC